CUCAACCGGUGAACUGCGCUUGAAACUACUGGACUAGAGAUCAGGAGAGGAAAGUGGAAUUCCUAGUGUAGCGGUGAAAUGCGUAGAUAUUAGGAAGAACAUCGAUGGCGAAGGCAGCUUUCUGGCCUGACACUGACGCUGAGGCGCGAAAGCGUGGGGAGCAAACAGGAUUAGAUACCCUGGUAGUCCACGCCGUAAACGAUGGAUACUAGGUGUAGGGGGUUCGAUUCCCUCUGUGCCGCAGUUAACGCAAUAAGUAUCCCGCCUGGGGAGUACGGUCGCAAGAUUGAAACUCAAAGGAAUUGACGGGGGCCCGCACAAGCGGUGGAGUAUGUGGUUUAAUUCGAUGCAACGCGAAGAACCUUACCAAGGCUUGACAUCCCGUGACAGCCUGUGAAAGCANGAAUUAGCCUCGGCUACAC
rnacentral:rRNA from 1 species